rnacentral:rRNA from 1 species
GAUGAACGCUAGCGGAAGGCUUAAUACAUGCAAGUCGAGCGGUAGGUGGCUUCGGCCAUUGAGAGCGGCGCACGGGUGAGUAACGCGUACAUGACCUGCCUGUCAGAAGGGGAUAGCCCUGGGAAACUGGGAUUAAUACCCUAUGGUAUUGAUAUUAUGAAUGAUAUCAAUUAAAGUUGAGGCGCUGACAGAUGGAUGUGCGUCUGAUUAGCUAGUUGGUAGGGUAACGGCCUACCAAGGCGACGAUCAGUAGGGGGCGUGAGAGCGUGGUCCCCCACACGGGUACUGAGACACGGACCCGACUCCUACGGGAGGCAGCAGUAAGGAAUAUUGGUCAAUGCCCGCAAGGUGAACCAGCCAUUCCGCGUGGAGGAUGAAGGCCCUAUGGGUUGUAAACUUCUUUUAGAU